GAAGAAGAAAGAGAUCAUUCUGGUACAAAAGAAAAAGAAACCAUUUGAAUUUGAUUCCUUUCUUUUCUAUUUCAUUAUACAUUUAUUUGGUCAUUCCUUCCCACUUCUUCAAGCUAUAUAGAUUCCACUUUUACAAAAUCCAAAUAGAAGUGAGCUUAUAAAUCUACGCAACCUAAAUUCAUGCAACCAAACUGACUAACAAACUUUUGGAGCCAAAUCAGAGUUCUUGUUGGAGUUGCAGGGAGUGAUUAAAGGGUGCAUUCUGUUGAAGUGCAUGAAAACUUGUGCUUACUCAAAGCGUUCAAUUUCCAGGAAGUGACUAAAAGGUGCGUUUUGUUGAAGUGCACGGAAAGUUGUGCUUACUCAAUGCGUUCAAUUUCGAGAUAAUUAAGAGAUCCAAACUUAUUUUCAUUUGAAGAUGAUCUUCCCUUUUUAGUGCAAGCAGUGACUAAAGGGUAUGUUCUGUUGAAGUGCACGGAAAGUUGUGUUUACUCAAAGUCUUCAAUUCCCAGGGAGACAACAGAGAGAGAUGGAACUUCAACACUUCAUCCAUGAGCAUCCUCUGAUAAUCAAUGAAUUUCCUUGGAACUUCAUGUCCUUUGAGGAAAGGUUUAAUUCUAUUUUUUCUAAAAUUAUGCCCAAAUGUACUGGGUGUGGUGAAGCAAUUGUGGGUUCAUGUGUCUGUUGUGGGAAAUGUAGCUUUCUUCUUCAUAAUUCAUGCGCCAAACUACCCCGUGAGUUGCAACUCCCAAUACAUGACAAACACCCUUUAGUUCUCCAAAUAACUAAAAAUGAUGAAGGCACUUACAAAUGCAACUAUUGCAAUUUAGUUUGCAAACAUUUCUUUUACCAUUGUCCCCUCUGCAAAUUUGUCCUUGAUGUCAAAUGUGCUUCUUCGCUACAAUCCAUCCUUGAAGUCGAAAUUCAUGACCACCCAUUGGCCCUCUUCCAAGGUUCAAUCUCAUUCACUUGUAAUUUUUGUGGUAAAAAAGGUCAGGACAAGCCUUGCCAAUGUGCCUUAUGUGGAAUUUGGUUCCACCACAAAUGUGCUUUCUUACCACACAUGGUCAAACAUAUGCGGCACAAGCACCCUCUCAACCUCACCAAACUUCUCAAGACUGAUCAAUCUGAGGACCGACUUUGUCAAUUUUGUGUAAAAAAGUUGGAAACAAACUAUGGGAUUUAUUAUUGCUCAAGUUGUGAUUAUGUUGUCCAUCUUGAUUGUGCUAUUGACAACUUUGGUAUGGAGCUAACAUUGGAGAGGGAAUCAAAAGAUGAGGAGCUUUUUGAGUCAACAACCAGGGUGGGGAAGGACAAAAUUGAAGUACCCAUAGAAAUCAAACAUUUCAGUCAUGAGCAUGAAUUGAAGCUUACCGAUGAGCUUGAGAAUUAUGAAAUAUGUGAUGGGUGUAUACGACCUAUCUUCCCUCCGUUUUACAAGUGUGCUCAGUGUUCUUUCUUUCUACACAAAUCAUGUGUAGAAUUACCCAAUAAAAAGCAACAUCCAUUUCACAUGCACACGCUCACCAUGAAAUCAAGGAGACCUAUGCUUGCUCGUUGUGAUGUUUGUGAACUUUUUACUAAUGGCUUUACCUAUGAGUGUAGCAUAUGCAGCGGGUUUGAACUUGAUGUUUCAUGUAGUUUGAUCCCAGAAAAGCUUACUCAUGUUGGCCACGAGCAUUCCCUCAUUCUCUCUAGUACAACAUUGGAUGAGAAGUGUAGUGCUUGUAAUUAUAAAAUGAAAAUCUUUCGUUGUACUAAAUGUGAAUUUACUCUAGAUUUUGGAUGUGCUACGCUGCCACUCACUGUAAAACAUAGACAACACGAGCAUCUUUUUACCUUACGAUAUUCUGCUGAAGAUAAUUCAGGUGAAUAUUAUUGUGAUAUUUGUGAGGAAGAACGAGAAUCAAAGUUUUGGUUCUAUUACUGUGAUGAAUGUAGUUUUCCUGCUCACCCCAAAUGUAUAUUUGGAGAGUUCUUAAAUAUCAAGUAUCGAGACUGCCGAAACAUCAAGUUUGGAAGCACUUACACAUCCGACAUCCACCAACAUCCCCUCACUCUUGCUCGUAAGACUAUGGACCAUGACUCAUGUGACAAGUGUGGUAAAUUUUGCAAUGAAGUGGCCUAUGAAUGUGCCACUUGUAAUUCCAUUAUUCAGGUGAAGGGUCUGCCGAAUUGUAAAACCUCUCUGAUGGACUUCGCCGUGGAACAAAAACAACUUGAACAAGUAAGAAAAUGUUUGAGUUUAUUUUUUAAGGGAAAAUUUAUGAGGAUAAAAUUUAGAAUUGAAGCUCAUGUUCCGCAUUCAUUAAUUUUGUUUUUAUUUCUUUUACUUAGCAAAUUGCCGAUAUAAUCUAAGAUACUUUACCUUUGCUCAUGGUAACCUCUCUUAUAUAAAUCAUAUGUUCAAAUGCAAUGCGGAGUUUGCAGUUUUCUAAGUCUCACUUGGUAUCAGGGCUUCACAAUCUCUGGAAAAUUUUAGCAACUUUUAUUUUUUGGUCUGAAGUUUCUGGUAGGACAACCAGAUUCGGGUCCAUUUAACCCCUUUUUCUUGCACCACUCCAAUAAUAAUUCUGGUUUGGCACUUGUUUCUCAGCCUCUCAUUGGUGAGAAUUACAAAACAUAAGAGUCAAUCCAUGAUAAUGACGCUCACAGCCAAGAACAAGAUUAGUUUCAUCAACGAGUCUAUUAUUCCAAAACCUGUUUAACAGUUUAGACCCAAAUUUCCUUGCUUGGAAACGAUGUAAUACCAUGAUUCUUUCAUGGCUUCUCAAUUAUAUAUGUUUCCGAGGAAAGUUUGAAUACUUGACCAACAUUAAACUAUUUUAUAUAGUGAAUUAACAACUAUUUUUGACAUUAUUUAGGAUUUGUCUAUCGAUUUGCCAAAAAAUAAAAUGUUGCGCAAAGUUAGGUUGAGUAGAACACCAUACUUGUUAUUAACGGUAAUAAGUCAACUAAUAACAUCUUUUACGCUGUUGUUUAUAAUUUUUUUUUCUCUAAGGUUGAAGCAAAGCGCCAAA